rnacentral:ncRNA from 1 species
UGGUGAAUAAGUCCUUUCCGAAACGGAUGAGGCCACCUUGAGGUGGGUGGGACAAAGUAGGAAAGGGAUCACAA